UGGGGAAUAUUGCGCAAUGGGGGGAACCCUGACGCAGCCAUGCCGCGUGAAUGAAGAAGGCCUUAGGGUUGUAAAGUUCUUUCGGUAUUGAGGAAGGUUGAUGUGUUAAUAGCACAUCAAAUUGACGUUAAAUACAGAAGAAGCACCGGCUAACUCCGUGCCAGCAGCCGCGGUAAUACGGAGGGUGCGAGCGUUAAUCGGAAUAACUGGGCGUAAAGGGCACGCAGGCGGUUAUUUAAGUGAGGUGUGAAAGCCCCGGGCUUAACCUGGGAAUUGCAUUUCAGACUGGGUGACUAGAGUACUUUAGGGAGGGGUAGAAUUCCACGUGUAGCGGUGAAAUGCGUAGAGAUGUGGAGGAAUACCGAAGGCGAAGGCAGCCCCUUGGGAAUGUACUGACGCUCAUGUGCGAAAGCGUGGGGAGCAAACAGGAUUAGAUACCCUGGUAGUCCACGCUGUAAACGCUGUCGAUUUGGGGGUUGGGGUUUAACUCUGGCGCCCGUAGCUAACGUGAUAAAUCGACCGCCUGGGGAGUACGGCCGCAAGGUUA
rnacentral:rRNA from 1 species